GUUACUUGGGGCUAUUAU
rnacentral:miRNA from 1 species